AUGCCGGCAAGCGAGGCGGCCGUAUCCGGCGAGGUGGUGUGCCGGCGGGGGUGCGGACACGGAGGGGGGUUUAGCGCGUGCAUGCGGAGCUGCUGCAAGAAUGCACGCGUUGGGUUCAACUCGAGCACGAGCUCAUGGCGAGCUUGGCUUGGUACCGUCGGUGCAGAGGCCGAGCGAGCGACCUCUGAAGCUGGCGAGGCGAGGCGAGGCGAGCGUGCACACGGGCAAGCGUGGCGAGGAGAACGCAGCCAGGUGGGAACCAGAGCACGGGGACGCGCGAGCGCGCUGUAUCAAGUACACACAACAAAACUGCAGACCUCGCCGGAGCACCGUGAGCACAGCAAAGACACGGAUUGA
rnacentral:rRNA from 1 species